GCAUUAUCUCUUCGACGGCCUGCGAGUCGCAUUCGACGUUACACUCGCUACCAUUGUCCACCUGAAUUCUUGGACGGAACGGAAGACGACGACAAUACGCACCACCAUCGCCGGACGACUCUUUAAACGAUAACCGCAGAGGUGCUGUCGCAGAGCUAAGCCCUCGUUCCGGCAACAACAGACCACGCACCGAGUAGUCCACUGGAUGUGAUGCCGUCUCAUCAUAGCUCGUUUGACAAUGGUGGACGUGGAGGUCGUGGUAGCUGCCCUGGCCGUCUUGGUCGAUUUUCCAAAAGAAAUAGGUGUAGUUUUUGCAGAAAACGGGGUCACUUUGAAAGUGACUGUUGGUACAAUCAGCCAACACCGGUCACUGAGGAAGAUUAUGCCACAGUGUCAGUUUCGAAAACUUCAGUCUUAGCGUUAUGUGAACAUUUAAGACAUGAGCAUCUGCAGCUGCGGCGUCUGGUAAUGGUGCUAAUUCUGCUGCUGCUGUUUCUACUGGUGCGCUUAAACAGCACCUAACAACAGCAGAUACAACACCUAUAACAGUAGCUAAGACAAUAACAACUACAACAACAAAAAACUGUGU